GCCAGCUCAAUUUGAUUGACGGCUUCUUGUUCGAAACGCUUUUUUACAUGGGAGAAGCGUCCCGGAAUCAAUGUAGGGGAUACUUCACUUUUUUGCUGAGAAAAACAGUAAGCCUAUAGCCUUGGAAUUUUUUCAAAAUCUGAGAUGAAGAUCCAGAUUUUUUUUCGAAGGUUUCUUGCGCUCAUCUCAUGUAUUUUGAUCUCAGGAAUCCGAAUCUGCAAGCAGAAUAAUUCCAUCUAUGAAAAUGACCGAGUUAUCGCCAAUUAAUCGGUCGAAAAAGUGUAAAAUCAAAGAUAUCUUUAUGGGAUCUUACGCCAGCUCAAUUUGAUUGACGGCUUCUUG
rnacentral:misc_RNA from 1 species